ensembl:lncRNA
CUUGGCUGUCCUCCUUCUGAAGGUGCAGCACAAAAUGGGUCCCACAAGGAAGACAUCUCUGACAGGAGGGUGUGACACACGGCAGAGAAGAGUUGCUGAAAGAGAUACAGCUCUAACACUCUGUGCUGGAAAUGAUCGCAGGCCCAGAAAUCUAACAUCUGUCUUCAGGAAUCAAGCAUCUGUGAGCAUCAGAGGUGUCACAAAAUGUCCAACUGUUGGUGAAAGUAGAGGAAGUAACCAAAUGGAGCAGCAGUGAAGAAUCCUGCUGUUGAGCCCCGGUGUAUAUUUGGACUGAGCUGCCUGAAGACAGUGUAAUCUGGAUUACUGUCUGCAUGGUCCUUGUUGCUGUGGUUUGGUGAAAUUCAGGCUCCUCCGCUUCUUUAAGUGUGGAAAAAUCAUACUGAACAGAGAGAUAUCCUCAGGGCCCAUUCAUUGAGGAAGCGGAGGAAUACAAUCAGUAAGAUUUAAUAGUGCACAGAUGCACUUGAAUGUGUGCCGUAUUAAAUAUCACACAUGCAUGUGCAUAUUUGAAGGUAUUUCCUUGCACUUGCCUCCCUACCGACAGUGUAUUGAACUUAACGAGUGAUCUCAUGUUUCAAGGCCAGAAUAGUUUGAUUUCAAAAUAUAAAGUGCACAUGUCCUUGGUGAACUAGAGCUGCUGCUCUACGUACAGAACUGCUAUUAGAAUAUAAUCAUGAUUGUGGUAUUUUUUUCUUGGGCAUCAGAGUUAGGGAUGUUGACAUCAGCUACAGCAACAGCCUGUGGCAAAGUAAUAGGUUGGGUCAAACAUGAAAACUUAUACUAUCAAAGUCAGUCAGGGCAUGUUUUCAUUUGAUUUGGAUGAUUUCAAUUUUCUUUAUCAUCUGCCACAAAUUAAACAUUUGUAUCUGGUACAGAACUGCUAAAUCAAUGCCAGCAUGUAAUCACAGGUAGUCUUUUAACAUGAAGUUGAGAAAUAA